UUGUGUAUUUUUUUACUGAUUCACUAUUGGAUUAACAAGAAUUAUCUUACUUUAAAUUUCUUGCUUUAAAAAAAAAAAAGAAUUAUCUUACUUCAUGUAUGGUAUGCCAACUGUUCGAUAAAGGUCCUUUUAGAAAUCUUCUAUUGAUUACCUUGCGAAGACCACAAAACUAGACACACCCAAAAGCAUUCUUGCAUAGUUUAUACAUAGAGAUGGCCGAUUGAUGAUCGUCUUAUUUGUAGACUUAACGCGAGCAGACUCGAUCGCUUAGUCCUUAUUGAUUUACGACACACAUGCUCACACACACACAUACACACAUCACAAAAUCACACAAAUUGACGGAUAAUGUUGCCGUUCAGCUCCUUCCUGAACCUCACCGCGGCAUUUUUCUGCACCAUAGUGGCCGUGAAAUACCACGAGACGAUGUCAUGGACGGCGACGUGUUGUCCGGUGGCGGCGGAUAGCCCGACCUGAACCUGCUGAGGAACAAAGUCGCUCAAAUCGUACUCAUAGUUGACAUCAAAUGUCUGCGAGCCGGCGGUGACUUUCACGGAGAUCAUCCUUGUGGCUCCGACGUAGUUGAUCCGCGCAGUCACCUGCUGCCCGAGUAUGGAGUUGUCGACCUUCGUCGUGUUGCUGGAUGCCCUAGAGCCGAAGUCGAUGCCGAUGUGGGGAUAGAGCGGAUCCCACGCGCCGUUGACGUAGGUGUCGAUUUCGACGGCGAAGACCGAGGGGCUGUUGCCGUUGGAGCCAAAGAUUCCGAGGUUGGCUCCGUUGGAGCCAGGGGGGAUGGUGGAACCGACGGGGGCAAUGAAGAAGGCGAGGCCGUCGGCAGGCUCGUUGUCGGCGCCCGGGGUGAUGAUGAAGUUCACAGUGGUUUCGAAGUCGACCUGCCCACCGGACUGCGAGAAUUGGACCGGGUUCGAGUGCAAGACGCGGCCGACUUGUGAGGGCUGUGCGUCUGUGAGGCGGAGGAAGGUGGAGUCCGUCGGGAAAUGGGCGCUGCCUUGAUAGAUGAGAUCUUUCGGCUGGUCGCCCCAGAAGUCGUAGGUGAAGGACGUCGUUUGGGACAACGCCGUGUUGGAAACGGCGAGGAGGAGGGCGAUGGAGGCGAGGAGAGGAGUUAAGGUUUGAACAAGCUGGUUGGCCAUGGCUUAAUUGAUUUAGAUUUAGAUUUAGAGAUGUGGUGGAUGAUGGUGGCCAGGUAUCGAUCUCUUGCACCUAUUUAUACUAGUAUGGUUCAUGCCUGUUAAUAAUUGUAUAUAUCAAUCAAUCAUCGUGCAUCUAUCCCAAAUUAUAUGUCUUAUUAUUCACUAAUUAGAUGGAAUAAAUCCUAAUUAGCAAUCUUAAAAUUACACCGCCAAUGAGGCCUUGCUCUAGUGGUAAAGCUGUGGCACCGAAUAACUUUUCUUUGUGAAAGGUCUUGGGUUCAAUCUCGCCUGCAUGCGGUGAUGUUUGUCCAUUUUAGAUGGUGUGGUAUUCUUGCCUGCGUGCGGUGUUGUAUUAUUUAGUCUUAGGCGUUCUUGCCUGUGUGCAUAUCACUGUGUGACAAUUAAAAGAAUGACUUUAAAAUAAAAGUUAAGCCUUAAAAAUUUAAUCUACAUUCAUAUAUAACUGAAAUUACAUGCAUGUCUAAUUUUUUUAAUAUCAUAACAAGAUAAGAUUUAUUAAAUAAUUCAGAUGCAUAAAUAAAAAGUUAAUCUAUAAACACAGUAUAGAUAUAUUAUCAAUGAUAGGCCGUGUAUAAGUCUUAAUCUGUAAAACUAUAUCAUCCCAGCCUUAAACGACUACCAUUCCUGCUUUCCCAGAGCAACCACACUGUUCCCACCCACAAAGCUUUAAGCAGUACAUGCAUGUCUAAAUAUUAUUUAUAAUUAUCAAUAACAAGAUUAAUGAUUCUAUAUCUCUAUGUUUAUACAUAUAUUCACGUAUGACAUAGUAUAUAUUAGCUAUUAAGUUAAAAACUAAUAAAAUACUACAGUUUUGCAUAGGAUAUAUAUUUAAUUAGUAGUAGGAUAGGACACGUGUAUUAAUUUUAAGGGCAAGUAAUCAAACUUUUGAAUGAUUCAUCAUGCUUAAAAAAAAAAAGAGACCUAGAUAGAUGAUUCAUCAGAUUCAAAAACAAGUAUAAAUAGACUUCGAGUUUGAAAUUUUAAUUAAUUUGCAACAACAAUUCAAACUGACUGUAUUAAGGUAAGUAGUUACAGAUUUCAUACACAUUAUAUGAUUUCGCGCACAUACGUAUGUAUAUAUAAAUAUUUUUUAAAAUCAUAUACUCCCUCCGUCCCCAAAAUAAGUUCCUCUUUGGGGACGGCACGGAUUUUAAGGAAAAGUGGUAAAGUGUAUUAAUAGUGGAGAAAAAUAUGUUAUAAUUAGUAUUGGAAGUUGUGAAAAGGUGAAAAAGUGUUAUAAUUAGUAUUGGGAGUGGUGAAAAAGUGAAAAGUAAGAAUAAAUAAAGUAUUAUUAGUGGUGGGGUAGUUGUCCAAAAAUGGAAAAAAAGAAAGAGGAACUUAUUUGGGGGACAUCCCAAAAUGGAAAAAGAGGAACUUAUUUCAGGGACGGAGGGAGUAUUAUAUAAUAAUUAUAUUUAAGUUUUAUAUUAUUCUUUAUAAACUAUUGUUCCAUUCUAUAUAAUUAGGUGUGGCACGACUAGGACGUAACUUUCGAUUGAAUUUCUCAAGUUAAUUUUCAAGUUCAAGUUUCAGGUGUGAGAUUUAUUUAAAUACAUGUCAUGAUUAUUCAUUGUCCAUUUUAAUAGUAUGUGUUUACCAUAUGUGUUAUGACGCAUAUUUUGAGGACAUCGCUAGGAGCCCAUAAAUAGGGUCCAGGACUUCACCGUCCUUGGAUUGCCACAAUGCGAUUUGAGGUUUAUUUUGAGGAUGUCGUCAGGGGCCCGUAAAUAGGGUCCAGGACUUUAAUAGUCAUUGGGUUGCCACAGUGCGAAUAUUGAAGAUAUAUAUGAAGUGACCGUAUGUGUUACCGUUUCAUUAACGUGGACAAUGAUUGCAUGUUUAAGAGACAAUAACCAAUUUUUCAGACAUUUGUGAACAAAAUGAAGCAUGUUUAGAGAUCCUUAAUAAAGGUGUACGAAAUGAUGGAUAAAUAAGUUUGUGAAACAAAUUUCACCAUACCUAACCCCACAAUUAUUUGCGGUCGAAUUUCCUCGUCACAGGAAAAAGAGAUGAUGACAAAAGGGCAAAAAUUAAUUAACAAAGUAGAAGAUGCAUGACAACUGUAAAAGAAAAAUAAUGCUACUAAUUAAAUAGUCCAAACUUCAUACGUUUCAUAUCAUAAGUGGCAGUUCUAUUUUUUUUUUGCGAAAGUGAACAAAAUAACGAAUAAUUUUUAAAGUAAUAGUAAUAAGGAGAUGUGUUUUGACAGAAAACGACAUGAGCGGCCUAAAAAUAAGAGGGAAAAAGAUAAUCAUAUAAAUAUGGGUUAAUUGCCUCUAAAUACACCACCUUUCCUUGAAUUCUACAAUUGCACAUCACCUUUAAAAUCCGCCCUUAAAUACACCACCUUUCCUUGAGUUCUACAAUUGCACAUCACCUUUAAAUCCGCCCCAAAAUACAUCAUCUUUAUAUUUUUUCUGUUUUUGCACAUGACUAAAAAAUUCUCAAGAAAUAAAUUAAAGUGUUAAUUUAUAAAUUUAAAUAUCUUUUUAGCAGCGAAAACAUAAUAAAAUAAAAUUCUUUAUAAAGUUUAAAAUCAUAUAUAUAUAUAUAUAUAUAUAAGUAUUUUCGUAAAGAAAUAAAUUCUCUAAUAAAUUUUUAGAAAGAACUUGAAUUAAAAAAAUAAACAAGUCAUGACAUUAAGAAAAUAAAAUGAAAUUUUUAUUUUAAUAAAUUUCACACGAAUUCGAUAUAAUUUGGAAUUUAGAGUUACAAUAAUCAGAAGUACCACAUGAAUAAUAUAAUGAGUUUGAAAGAAAUUUUUUUUAAAGAGGUUCGACACGCCCAUUCGACUUUCCACGCGCCUCCAAUGUCAUUUACCUGAAAUAUUAANUAUAUAAGUAUUUUUCGUAAAGAAAUAAAUUCUCUAAUAAAUUUUUAGAAAGAACUUGAUUAAAAAAUAAACAAGACAUGACAUUAAGAAAAUAAAAUGAAACUUUUAUUUUAAUAAAUUUCACACGAAUUCGAUAUAAUUUGGAAUUUAGAGUUACAAUAAUAAAAAGAACCACAUAAAUAAUAUAAUCAGUUUGAAAGAAAUAUAUAUAUAUUUUUUUAAAGAGGUUCGACGCGCCCAUUCGACUCUCCACGCGCUACCAAUGUCAUUACCUGAAAUACUAAAUAUGGGAUAAGCAUACAUAAUAUACUUAGUGUGGGAACAUGCAAUUAUUGUCCACGUUAAUAAAAUAGUAACACAUACGAUCAUAACAUUCAAAACGACACAAUUUUGCCAAUAUGGAAGCCACGUCAUUUAAAGUGGUAACACCCUAAUCUAACUAAAGUGUUAAAUAUAAAUUUAAAGCGGAAAUAUAAUAAAAUAAAGUUCUUUAUAAAAAUAAAUAAAGAAUUUUAUUUUAUUAUAUUUCCGCUGCUAAAAAAGAUAUUUAAAAUUUAUAAAUUAACACUUUAAUUUAUUUCUUGAGGAUUUUUAAGUCAUGUGCAAAAACAGAAAAAAAAUAUAAAGGUGAUGUAUUUUGGGGCGGAUUUAGAAUUCAAGGAAAUGUGGUGUAUUUAGGGGCGGAUUUUAAAGGUGAUGUGCAAUUGUAGAAUUCAAGGAAAGGUGGUGUAUUUAGGGGAAAUUAACCCUAUAAAUAUUCAAAAUCAAACGGAUUGGCAUGUAUUCAUCAUUUUUUAUUUUUUAUUUUGAUAAUUUAACAGUAUUAAAUAAAGAAAUUUAUAGGCUGCGUCCCUUACUGCUUGGCUUUUAGAUUAUGUUGUAAUAAUAAAAUUAAAAGCACGUUUACAAUAUAAAAUUAAUUAUGAUAAAUACAAUAUAUUAAUAAUAAAUACUCAAUUACCUCUUAACAUAAUUCGCGCAUCAUGGCUUUUAGCUUAUAUUAUAAAGAUAUAAUAUGUUGUCUAUAAUAAUCGACGGAAGGUAAUAGACAACAUGUUUUACUUCUUGUCUAUAAUAAUAUAGACAGUAGAUCUAGUGUUAUAGAUAACAAUUAAUACGUGUUGUCUAUAUGAUGAUAGACACCAAAAAUCUCUGUUGUCUAUUCUAUGACAAAAAAAUUUAAAAAAAUUCUAAUAUAUUUACAUCCCUGUAUUACAAUACCAAUAUAUAUGAAAAAAUAAAAAUAAUUAAAAAUCAAAUAAUCAAACAAUACUUAUAAACCACUAAUACUCACAAUCAAAUAUUUACACAUCAACAAUUGUAUUAUCUUUAAUUACGCCUUCAUUUAUCUACUAAAAAAAAUCUCUAAUAAAAUCUCUAACUAACUCCGGUCAUCAUCUCUUGAAGGCUUAGAAAAUGUCCAAAUACAGCGGCACAUGCUCAUUAUUGUGUGAGCGAUGAGAACUUUGCGCUGAACCUAUAAAGUAACUAUACUUAACUGGUAAAGUAAUUGUAUCCCGUGAAUCUAAAGGAAGAAUAAACACGUUGAUAGAGUUUGAAAGAAAAGAAUAAAGAGAAUGAAAAUCCAAAGAAUUUGCUUCUUCCGUUGAACAAUCCCUACACAACGUUGAAAUAUCAAUGAAAACAAUGGCUAUCCUAUACUCCCUCCAUCCAUGAAAGAACUUCCUAGGAGGGAGUGACACGGGUUUUAAGAAAAAAUAUUGUUAAGUGUAUUGAGAGUGGAUAAAAGGUAGUUGAGUGUAUUGGGAGUGGUGAAAAUGUGUUAUAGUUAAUAUUGAGAGUUGUGAAAAGUGAAAAGUAAGAGGAUUAUAAGUGGUGGGGUAUAGUCCAAAAAUAGGUAGGAAGUUCUUUUGUGGACGUCCCAAAAAGGAAAGAUAUGAAGUUCUUUCGUGGACGGAGGGAGUAUUAUUUUGCAGCAGCAACCACGUUUAAAAACUCGAUCCCUCUAUUCUUGAAUUUGUGAAAUUUCCGACUGAUUUAUUAGAUUCACCAUUUAUUUCAGUUUAAUUAGUCUAUAUAUAGAUAUUUCUUAUAUUAUUAAAUUGUUAACCUCAUGGUAGAUUUCAAGAUUUGAAAAUUCAACAAAGAGCUUGAGAAUUAUAGAGAUUGGAAGGGGAAGAUGAAACAUAGUUGGGUGAAAUUAGAAACCAAUUAAAGUCAGGAGAUUGAAGAAAAACAUAACUUAAAAACACAAAAUAAGCAAAUCGUAGAUGCAGUAUCUUGCAAGAAAAAGUUCAUAUUCCCAAGGCUAUGAUGAGCACGAAUUAGGGUGUGUCUGCAUUUUAUCCCUCUAAAUGGAGGAAUAAUAAAAUUUUAUGCCUUUAAAUGUUUGCUUUCUUAUCACACAUUCUAAACAAACACCAUUUUUUCUUCCUUAUUUUCACUUCAAUGAGGGAUAAUAUUAUCCCUCCAAUUUUGGUGUGAUAAUAUUAUCCCUCCUACAAGUGAAAAUAAGGAAGAAAAAAUGGUACUCCCUUCGUCCCAAACGAAAUGUCCUGUUUUCCUUUUUGGGCUGUCCCAAACGAAAUGUCCUGUUUCCUUUUUUGGCAAUACACUCUCUCUCUAUACUUAAUAUUUAAAUAAUUUUCACCAACCCACUUUAUCUACUUUAUACACAUUUCUUAAUCUCCGUGCCGAAAAGAAAUGGGACAUUUCGUUUGGGACGGAGGGAGUAUUUGUGUAGGAUGUGGGAUAAGAAAACAAACAUUUAAAGACAUAAAUUUUUGUUAUUCCUCCAUUUAGAGGGAUAAAAAGCAAACACACCUUAGAGUCUAAUUACAAUUUAGGCGCAGGCUGUGUGAGAAUUACUUAGUCGAAUAGGAUCCUUAGUAUUUAUAUUUCUCAUGUUCUUGUGUAUUUUUUCACUGAUUCACUAUUGGAUUAACAAGAAUUAUCUUACUUUAAAAAAAAAAAAGAAAUGAUCUUACUUCAUGUAUGGUAUGCCAACUGUUCGAUAAAGGUCCUUUUAGAAAUAUUCCAUAGAUUACCUUGCAAAGACCACAAAACUAGACACACCCUGCAUAGUUUAUACAUAGGGAUGGCCGAUUGAUGAUCGUCUUAUUUGUAGACUUAACGAGAGCAGACUCGAUCGCUUAGUCCUUACUGAUUUACGACACACAUGCACACAUACACAGAUACACACAUCACAAAAUCACGCAAAUUGACGGAUAAUGUUGCCGGCCAGCUCCUUCCUGCUCCACGCCACGGCAUUUUUCUGCACCAUGGUGGCCGUGAAAUACCACGAGACGAUGUCAUGG
rnacentral:lncRNA from 1 species